rnacentral:rRNA from 1 species
UACGUAGGGCGCAAGCGUUUGUCCGGAAUUAUUGGGCGUAAAGAGCUCGUAGGCGGCUUGUCACGUCGGGUGUGAAGCCCGGGGCUUAACCCCGGGUCUGCAUUCGAUACGGGCAGGCUAGAGUGUGGUAGGGGAGAUCGGAAUUCCUGGUGUAGCGGUGAAAUGCGCAGAUAUCGGGAGGAACACCGGUGGCGAAGGCGGUUCUCUGGGCCUUACCUGACGCUGAGGAGCGAAAGCGUGGGGAGCGAACAGG